UAGUGCGGACAUGGUAAUCAAC
rnacentral:misc_RNA from 1 species